CCACGAGCCGCGCCUGUCUGCGCCGCGAGCCGAGCCGGUCUUCAACCUCCAAGCCGAGCCGAUCCCUGUCCUUUUUCCAGCCGAGCCGCCAAGCCUAAUUUGGCUCCUUCCACCUAAUUUUUGGGACGUCUUGGACCAAGUAACUGCUGCAGUGUGGGAUUUCUUCAGUAGGGGCUCGAGCAUUGCAACCUCUUUCUAGGGUAAGUCAUUUCAACUGAGUUUGAACCGUUAGUCGUUGGUGACUUAAUUACGAAUUUCGGCGUAUUAAACAGUUAGGACCUCGUUGCUUGGAAAGCACACUUGCCUCGCGGUUAGAACUCGCCAAGUAAAUCUCCAAGUAGAGGACGAGGCAAGGGCAAAGGCAAGCUGGCGAGCGACCCGAAGUGACCGUGGCGAGCCAUAG